rnacentral:misc_RNA from 1 species
CUUUGUGUAAUGAUAAAUAGGAACAAUAGAAGUGAACAAGUGUAGAUUAUCUUUUUUUUUAUUUAAAAAAAAACUCCUGUUGUAUUAAGUCUUUUUCUUCUUCUUGAUGGUCAGAUGAUAAAUUUUACAGGUAUGUUUAUUGUGUCUUUAAUAAGUGUAACUCGUAUUAUGAAUUUUUCUGAUAUUAUAGGAUUUUCAGAUAAUAGAUUUCUGUGAAUAAGAGUUGAAUUGUAUGCACUACAAUGUGACUGGUGUAUGACUAUGGGAAUGUGUGUAAUGUUUAAUGAUACGUGAGUAAUGGUACUAAAUGAGUGAAUGUUUUACUGUUUGAUUGUUUUUGUUUGAGCUUUUAAACGUGGGGUGUUUUUCAACAUUUUGAGGAUAGCUUUUAUUAUGAAGCAAAGCUUUUAAUUCGAUUCCAAUGGUAGAAUGUGUAUAGAUAUUACAUUAUAAUCCAAUUCUAGGGCUUCUUCAGAGUUGUUUAUUAUGUGUGUAGUGUAACGCUCGCUAACUGAUGCUGGUUCAGUAGUUUAGUGGUGUGUUGUGAUAAUGUUGGUCCAGUAUUGAGCACUGUAUGUUACAUGUAGAAAGUAUGAUGAUGAAAUGGCAAGAUCUCCAUGUUUGUGAAAGAAAUUUUUUCAACAAUUGUGUAUGUACUCCAGAAUAUGUAAAGUAAACAAAGUAAAACAAAAGAAGAAAUGAUUGUUUGAAAUGAUUUAUGGGUCAUUUCUUAAUUAAAAUCAAUGUCCUUAGAAUCCAAAAUCAGGUACUGCAAUAUUGUUAGAACACAUUUUAAUUAGGUAGCCCAUGCAUUGAUAUUUGUAAUAUGUGUAUGUUACAUGUACAUGUAGUUAAGUAUCUAUAUAUAGUGGUAAUUGCUUCAUUUUCCCCUCAUUUCUGUCAUUAAUAAAUGCAAGUACUGU